GGAAACUUAAAAAUUAUCGUUGGAUUGAAAAAUAGACGUCUGAGAUUUAUCCACAUCAUCACGAGUAAAAAUUUUACUCACGGAUUUAUUGUGAGUAAAAUUUUUAGUCAUGAUGACGUGGACGAAUCUCGGACGUCCAUUAUUUGAUCCAACGGUAGUUUCCAAGUUUCC
rnacentral:pre_miRNA from 1 species